CCGGUUGGGCUACUGACCGAGAGUCGGCCAUGAGUGCGGGCACCGGAAGGUGGCCGGUUUGCAGGCUUUGUUUCCUGCGGCCGGUGUUACAGCCUGCCCGCAACGGGCGCGUUUGCCCAACCGAGGACACUAGGCCCUGUGUGGGCCAGUCCGCAUCCUCCCUUUGCAAGGAGCGGGUCGCCCGGCAGGUGGUUUGACGCCGGACCGUUUUCACCCGAGUGUGUGCGGUCCGCGGCAUCCUCCGUUGGCGUUCGGAGCGACUCCCGCGCGGAUGCAGGACGUCGGCAGCGAGUAGGUCGGUCACCCACCCGACCCGUCUUGAAACACGGACCAAGGAGUCUAACAUGUGCGCGAGUCAUUGGGUCUUGUUUAGGCCCAAAGGCGAAAUGAAAGUGAAGGCCGAUUCGGUCGGCUGCGUUGGGAUCCCGUCCACUCGUGGGCGGGCGCACCAACGGCCCGUCCCGAUCGCCGCGUCGAUGGGGCGGAGUGAGAGCGUACACGUUGGGACCCGAAAGAUGGUGAACUAUGCCUGGGCAGGACGAAGCCAGAGGAAACUCUGGUGGAGGUCCGCAGCGAUUCUGACGUGCAAAUCGAUCGUCAGACCUGGGUAUAGGGGCGAAAGACUAAUCGAACCAUCUA
rnacentral:rRNA from 1 species